CUGGGUUGUCACUACAUACUACUAGGUGUCACUAAUAGAUUGUGAGAGCUUACUAGGGUUGUUCUGGAUCGACAAUCCUUGAUGAGUUAGAGUGAAAUUAUUUUGAUCCAUUGAAAAGAGUUUCAAUGAUAUUUUGAUAGAGAUCAUUGUAUAUCUUACUACCAGAUAGAAUUAAACUUAUGGGAUCACAUAACUAAAGGAUUAGAACU
rnacentral:lncRNA from 1 species